GUCUGCGGCCACGCCGCCCUGAAAAUGCCUGAUCCCGUCGGAUCGCAGAAGCUAAGCAGGGUCGGGCCUGGUUAGUACUUGGAUGGGAGACCACCUAGGAAGACUGGGUGCUGUAGGCG
rnacentral:rRNA from 1 species